GGGCAACCCUGGUGGCGAGUGGCGAACGGGUGAGUAAUACAUCGGAACGUGUCCUGUAGUGGGGGAUAGCCCGGCGAAAGCCGGAUUAAUACCGCAUACGCUCUGCGGAGGAAAGCGGGGGCUCCUUCGGGACCUCGCGCUACAGGGGCGGCCGAUGGCAGAUUAGCUAGUUGGUGGGGUAAAGGCCUACCAAGGCGACGAUCUGUAGCUGGUCUGAGAGGACGACCAGCCACACUGGGACUGAGACACGGCCCAGACUCCUACGGGAGGCAGCAGUGGGGAAUUUUGGACAAUGGGCGCAAGCCUGAUCCAGCAAUGCCGCGUGUGUGAAGAAGGCCUUCGGGUUGUAAAGCACUUUUGUCCGGAAAGAAAACCUCAGCCCUAAUACGGCGGGGGGAUGACGGUACCGGAAGAAUAAGCACCGGCUAACUACGUGCCAGCAGCCGCGGUAAUACGUAGGGUGCAAGCGUUAAUCGGAAUUACUGGGCGUAAAGCGUGCGCAGGCGGUCCGCUAAGACAGAUGUGAAAUCCCCGGGCUUAACCUGGGAACUGCAUUUGUGACUGGCGGGCUAGAGUAUGGCAGAGGGGGGUAGAAUUCCACGUGUAGCAGUGAAAUGCGUAGAGAUGUGGAGGAAUACCGAUGGCGAAGGCAGCCCCCUGGGCCAAUACUGACGCUCAUGCACGAAAGCGUGGGGAGCAAACAGGAUUA
rnacentral:rRNA from 1 species